GUGGGGAAUCUUGCGCAAUGGGCGAAAGCCUGACGCAGCGACGCCGCGUGGGGGAUGAAGCAUUUCGGUGUGUAAACCCCUUUCGACUGGGACGAAUACCUCGCAAGAGGGGUGACGGUACCAGUAGAAGAAGCCCCGGCUAACUACGUGCCAGCAGCCGCGGUAAGACGUAGGGGGCCAGCGUUGUUCGGAAUUACUGGGUGUAAAGGGUUCGUAGGCGGUGUGGCAAGUCGGGAGUGAAAUCUAUGGGCUUAACCCAUAGGCUGCUUCCGAAACUGCCGUGCUUGAGUGUGGGAGAGGCGCGUGGAAUUGCAGGUGUAGCGGUGAAAUGCGUAGAUAUCUGCAGGAACACCCGUGGCGAAAGCGGCGCGCUGGACCACUACUGACGCUGAGGAACGAAAGCUAGGGGAGCAAAC
rnacentral:rRNA from 1 species